rnacentral:rRNA from 1 species
UAGGGAAUCUUCGGCAAUGGGGGGAACCCUGACCGAGCAACGCCGCGUGAGUGAAGAAGGUUUUCGGAUCGUAAAGCUCUGUUGUUAAGGAAGAACGAGUGUGAGAAUGGAAAGUUCAUACUGUGACGGUACUUAACCAGAAAGGGACGGCUAACUACGUGCCAGCAGCCGCGGUAAUGCGUAGGUCCCGAGCGUUGUCCGGAUUUAUUGGGCGUAAAGCGAGCGCAGGCGGUUAGAUAAGUCUGAAGUUAAAGGCAGUGGCUCAACCAUUGUAGGCUUUGGAAACUGUUUAACUUGAGUGCAGAAGGGGAGAGUGGAAUUCCAUGUGUAGCGGUGAAAUGCGUAGAUAUAUGGAGGAACACCGGUGGCGAAAGCGGCUCUCUGGUCUGUAACUGACGCUGAGGCUCGAAAGCGUGGGUAGCAAACAGG